AUCAUAUCAUUUGAUAUCUUAAAGAUGAUAAAAGGUUUCCUUACAAAAUCCCUGUGAUUGGUAUUGUCUCAAGGUGAUCACACACAAACUCGAUAUCAACUCGAGUAUCACACACGCAAGGUUAAUAAGAACUCAACUCUUAUUGCUUUAGUAAAAUCACACAAACCUAAAGCUCACAACUCACGUAAGUUAUACCACAUAUUGGUAUCUCCUUAUAUACUACUUAAUUAAUCCUAAUCUCAAUAGUAUUACAUAGUUUCCAUAUUUCCUAUUUCCUUUUCUCAUAAGAAAUAGAUAACUUCCAUAUCAAGUUAUUCCAUGCUUAUCCAACAUUCUCCCUCUUAAGCUUGGAAUCACUUGUAUCCACAUCUUGUACUCCUAUGAAGUCUCUCAUUUCUUUAAAUUUGAUCCUUCCCAAAGCUUUGGUUAAGAUAUCCGCCUUUUGUUUGUCACCAGAGAUAUGCUCGACUUCAAUUUGUCCUUUCUCCACACAUUCCCUUAUAAAGUGAAAUCUAGAGUGUAUAUGUUUGCUUCGACCAUGGAACACCGGAUUCUUCGUAAGUGCGAUUGCUGAUUUGUUAUCAAUUCGUAUAGUGAUCUUCUCACAUGGACGUCCAAGAAUCUCGCUUAACAAUUCUUGUAACCACAGCGCUUGUCUUGCUGCUUCAGUUCCAGCCAUGAACUCUGCUUCGCAAGAUGAGAGUGCAACAACUUCUUGUUUCUGUGAGCACCAAGUGAUUGGGCUUUCUCCGAGAUAGAAGAUAUGGCCUGUGGUGCUCUUGCCAUCAUCAACAUCGUUGUUAUAGCUACUGUCGCUAUAUCCAAGUAGUCUUGGUACCUUUGAUACCAUUCUCUGAAACGUGAGACCAAGAUUAGUGGAACCUCGCAGGUAUCUUAAGCACUGCUUCAUUGCCGUGCCAUGAGAUUCUUUCGGACAGUGCAUGUAACGGCUCAAAACGCCCACAGAAUAGGCCACGUCCGGACGUGUGUGAAGCAGAUAUCGUAGACAGCCAACGUUUCUUCUGAACUCUGUUGCGUCGAUCUCUCUCUCUCCAUCAGCUCUUGAUAGCUUUAGUCCUGCUUCCAUCGGUGUCUGAACAGGGUUACAUUGAUUCAUCCCUGCCUCUUCUAAUAUCUUUUGUGCAUACCGGUUUUGAUUCAGCGUUAUUCCUCCACUAUGCUGAUUUACUUCUAUCCCGAGAUAGUAGGUUAAUCUACCAAGAUCGCUCAUAUCAAAUUUUGAUGCCAUCAUGCCUUUAAACUCAUCAAUGACUCCCUUGUUGGUUCCUGUAACAAACAGGUCAUCAACAUAGACGGCUACCACAAGUAAGUGUCCGUUGAUCAUCUUUCGAUAUACGGACGGUUCCUUUGUACACUUUCGAAACUCCAUCUCAAUGAGAAUGCCAUUGAGCUUUGUGUUCCAGGCUCUUGGAGCUUGUCUUAAACCAUAUAAUGCCUUCUUAAGUUUGUAUACCUUGUGCUCUUGACCUUUUACCUCAAAACCCUCUGGUUGUGAAACGUAUACAACUUCUUUAAGCUCACCGUGCAAGAACGCUGUUUUUACAUCAAGGUGAUGUACCUCCCAACCAUAAGCUGCUGCCAAAUUCACUAGAAGUCGUAUUGUUUCGAGACGAGCCACUGGAGCAAAGACCUCGUCGAAGUCAAUACCAUAUUGUUGAACAUAUCCUUUCGCAACAAGUCUAGCUUUGAACUUGUUUAUACUCCCAUCUGCGUUUCGUUUCAGUUUGAAAACCCACUUCAGGCCAAUUGGCUUGACUCCAACGGGUAUUUCAACUAAGUCCCAUGUUUCGUUCUUGACUAUGGAAUCGAUCUCAUCCUCACAUGCUAGUGUCCAUUCUCUUGACUCGCUUGCUUCUCGAAAAUUCAAUGGUUCAUUGUUGAGACAUAGUAAAAGUCUUUCUCCUUCUUCUAUUGCAAGGAGAAUAUAAUCAUCCAAGUACUUUGGUUUGACACUUUGACGCUCUGAUCUUCUCAAAGAGGGCUGAGAUGUAUCUUCGGUGAGAGCUUCUUGUGACAAUGGAAGCUCCUCGUCAUCUGUCGACUCUAUAUCAAGACCGUGAUUCUCCCCAUCCUCAUCCUUAUGGCUUGUCUCAUCACUUUCGAUUUGGUUAUCCUGACUUAUAACACUUUCUUGGAGCCCACGAUUUCCAUGCGUGCUCAUUGUAAGAGUAAAUUCCUCAUCAUGUCUCUGGUCUUUAGAGAUCGUACUCCAAUCCCAGCCUUUCAUCUCAUCAAAAACAACAUCUCGACUUACUAUAACUCUCCGAUCUUGAGGAUCAUAUAGGCGAUAAGCCUUUGACCCUGGUUCUGUUCCGAGGUUAACCAGCAUCUUUGAUCUGUCAUCAAGUUUCUUCAGUUGUAUCUUCUCUAUCUUUGCGUAUCCAAUACAUCCAAAGACCCUUAGAUGACUUACAUUUGGUUUUUUGAGAUGAAAUAACUCAUAUGGAGUCUUGUCCUUGAGUGCUCGUGUAGCAAUUCUAUUCAGAAGGUAUGCUGAGUGUCGUAUUGCCUCUCCCCAAAACCAAUUUGGCAUGCUCAUAUGUUUUAACAUACUCCUGGUCAUCUCCAACAGGGUUCUGUUUCGUCUUUCGACGACGCCAUUCUGCUGCGGUGUGUACGGAGCAGUUAGAUGUCUCUUAACUCCAGAGUUCUCGCAGAAGAUGUUGAAUUCAUUGGAAGUAAACUCUCCACCUCUAUCUGUUCUAAAGGUUUGAAUCUUCUCUCCUGUCUCUUGUUCCACUAAACUCUUUAAUGUUUUGAAUUUUGUGAAGGCUUCGCUCUUAUCUUUCAUUAAGAUAGCCCACAUGUACCUUGAAUAAUCAUCAAUGAGGACAAAGAUGUAUCUCUUGCCACCCUGUGUACUUGGACUUAUUGGCCCGCAUAAGUCUCCAUGUAUCAGUUGUAGUCUCUUGUUAGCUCGGUAUUGUGUUGCUUGUGGAAACACUUGCCUUGUUUGUUUCCCUUUCAAGCAUGAUCCGCAUACCUCUCUUUCAAUGUUGAGCUUUGGAAUCCCUAACACGACCUCUCUUUGUAUCAUUGAUCUCAUUGUCUCAAGAUUUAUAUGUCCCAACCUUGCAUGCCAUCUGCUUGACUCCUUUGAUUCUGUCAGAGAAAGACUCGCGUCUGGUGUUAAGCUCAUGCACACUUUGUAUAGUCGGUUUCUCGAUCUGUUUGCUGUAACAAGCAACUUCCCAUUCUUAUCAUGCAUUGUAAGUUGAUCUCCUCUCAUCCGUAUAUCACAUCCAUCUUCUGUGGCUUGUCCUAGUGAGAUUAUAUUACUUUUUAAGUCAGGAAUGAAAUACACAUCCUUCAUCUUCAUUGACUCACCAUUCAUAUCAAUGAAUGAUAUUGUUCCCUUGCCUUUUAUGUCGAUGCGAGAGUCAUCACCAAACCUAACCUUGCCUGUUACUGAAGUGUUAACACUAGAGAAGUAUCUCUUAUCUCCUGUCAUAUGAUUACUCGCGCCAUUGUCGAGAUACCAAAUUUCUUCUCCAAUGUUUGUUUCAUAUUUUUCAGGCAUGACGUUUUUCUCAUUCAAGAAGACAGUUUCAUGCAUCAUCAACUCCUCUGCGUGUUGUGUCUCUGUAUUGUCAGAUUCUUGUGCUUCUUGCAGCUUUAACAAACGAUCUGGACAGUCCUGAGCAAAGUGUCCGGUUUUAUCACACCUAUAGCAUGUGAUUCGGCUAUAAUCGAAGUUUCUUCCACGACCUCUCCCUUGGUUGAAAGAGCGUCCUCCUCGACCUCUGCCUCUGUAGUCUCUGUUAUAGUCACGAUUUUGACCAUUGUAGUUUGAUGAUCUUCGAUCUUGACCUUCUGUAUUAGCAUACAUCAGCUUUCCUUUCUCUUCUUCAAUAUCUUCCUCCACAGAUACUCGCUCCUCAUAAGCCUUUAAACGCCCCACUAUGUCCUCAAAACCAGUGGUAUUAAGAUCUAGUACUUGUUCCAAUGAAGCCACAAUCUGUAUAUAUUUUUUUCGUGGGAGAGACUUUAAGAACUUCCGGACUAACUUCGGUUCUUCAAUGGUAGCUCCUAGCGCAGAUGAUUUUGAUGAAAUCUCUGAAAGUUUUCCAGCAAAAUCAUCAAUUUUAUCAGAAUCUUUCAUCUGUAAUCGAUCGAAUUCAGUCAUCAGCGUUUGAAGCCGAGCCUCCUUUACUCUUUCUGCUCCCAUGUUUCUCAACUUAAUAGCCUCCCACACUUUCUUUGCCGUAUCAAGCUCCCCAACUUGAAGUAUAAGAGCCUCGGGAAUGGAUUGAAACAACAAAGCCGUAGCCAUGUCAUUCUUAUCUCCAUCCGUAGACUCGGUCUCUAUCACCUCCCAAACCUUAUGAACCUUCAAUGUUAUCUUCAUUCUCAUAGCCCAUACUGUGUAGUUGCUUGAGGUGAGCAUUGGACACUUUAUGGAUGAAGGACCUCCGCCUUCUCUCCCUGCUGUAACUGGAAUCACUUCUCCCAUGGUUUCUUUUUCGAAGCUCUGAUACCACUUAUUGUCUCAAGGUGAUCACACACAAACUCGAUAUCAACUCGAGUAUCACACACGCAAGGUUAAUAAGAACUCAACUCUUAUUGCUUUAGUAAAAUCACACAAACCUAAAGCUCACAACUCACGUAAGUUAUACCACAUAUUGGUAUCUCCUUAUAUACUACUUAAU
rnacentral:lncRNA from 1 species